GGGUGAGGAAGCUGAUAGACCUUCUGCACACAGCUGGAAAUGGUGCCCACAGCUGUGAGGCUAGUUCUCAUGGUAGGCUCCAGGAGUUUCCUGCAAUGUGUCAAAGGUAAGAUCUUCUGACACAGGUGAUGAAGGAGGCAUUGAGGAGAGGGGCUGCUGGAGCUCCCUAUUGCAGAAGAGCCAUUUGGGGACAGGAAGGCCAGGGGCAGCCUGGAGCGUGCCAGUCGUGAGACCACAGUGUUUGGGAUCUUGUGUGGAAGCUGCAAAGCAAUGAGUAGGAUUGAAACACUGGACUUGGAGGGAGCCAAGUUUGUCCUCUUGAAGGGCCUACUUGGAGGUAACCCUUGCUCAAGCAUAGGAAGGGGUCCUGUGAAUGCUGGAGCAUUACUUCGUCCAUGCUGAGGUGCGCUGCGUCCCAAGGAGGAAGGAACUGCGCCGGAAUGGUGGGGGACCUGCAGGGCUGACUGAGGAACUUGAAGGGGAGAAGGAAGAGAGAGGCUGAGGAAGGCCAAGUCCCUCUGAGUAUCAGCUUUGGGAGGGAGGUCAAGGCUAAUGGAAGUUUGUCAACAGGAGAGACUGGAGAAAUUGCAGGCCUGUGCUUUACAAGGCGGAGGCCUCUUGGGUUUCAGUGGUUUCUGCUGAGAGUGCUCCUGGGGAACCUGGGGUCCUGGAGGAGAGAGUCCCUGAGGAAGGAUGUCUUCCCCUCAGUUGCGGAGGAGCUGGUCAAAGGUACCUGAAGACUGGAGGAUGGCGGAUGCCACCGCAGCCUUCAGAAAGGGUGUGGAGGAUGGCGUGUGCAACUUGGAGGUAGGUUGGCCUCAUGUCUGUUCCUGGGGAGGUGACGCAACAGCUUGUUGCAGGUGUCAUUGCCAUGUGACUGGAGGAGAAGGUAUUUGCAAGGAGCAGUCCAGGUGGAUGGACAGAGGAGAAGUCAUGCCGGACCAAAAGGUAGCUUUGUGCGUUGUCUUGAUUGUGCAGUUAGAGGAGAGGAGGGUGGCAGAUAGCAAUGCCUGCUGUGCAGGAGCCCAGUUGACGGGGAUGAGUGGCGUGUGUGUGGCAGUAGGGGGGCAGUGUGCAUGUUUGGUAUCACCAGAAUUUCUCAUUCAAGAGGAAGAAGAAUGAUUUCCCUGUGAGCGGGAUGGGAGAGGAGUGCCUGGGGAGGUUGUGGAGUCCGGUUCCCUGGGCCCCGUUCCAGUUGCGUGUGGGUGCUUUGCAGUGGGGCCUUGGCAUUCUGUCUGGCUGUGUGAUCUGUGCUCUUGUUGCAGGGUGAAGGCUGCAGAGAGGAUUGGCUGGAGCAGGUGUGCAGUUUUCCCAGUGGUGGGAUGAAGGAGGUUCAGGCUGGAGGCAGGAUCCUGGUGGUGUGAGUGGGGCGCCCCUGUGGAGCAAGGGUGGAAGGUGUGUGGCAGGUCCUGUCCCGGAGGAGUGGAGUUAAGGGUCCUGGCGUGGCUGUUUUCCUGCAUGGAAGAUGGAGAUCCUGGGAGCUGUGAUGAGGAGGAGCAGAGCCAGCAGGUAGGCCUGGGGUGUUGUGCUGUCUUGGCUCUGUUUGUGUUUGCUUAGGUGGCUGGCUGGCUUUGGUGUGUAAGAGGUUUGUGUUGGUGAUGUGGCAGGCUUGUUUGCUGGUGGUCUUGUGGUGG
rnacentral:lncRNA from 1 species